UCCGGUUUAACACCGGCAGUCUCCAUAGAGUGCCCAACUGAAUGCUGGCAACUAGGGAUAGGGGUUGCGCUCGUUAAGGGACUUAACCCGACAUCUCACGAUACGAGCUGACGACAGCCAUGCAGCACCUGUCUCCCGGCCCCCGAAGGGGAAACCCUAUCUCUAGGGCGGUCCGGGGAUGUCAAACCCAGGUAAGGUUCUUCGCGUUGCAUCGAAUUAAGCAACACGCUCCGCUGCUUGUGCGGGCCCCCGUCAAUUCCUUUGAGUUUUAACCUUGCGGCCGUACUCCCCAGGCGGGGCACUUAAUGCGUUAGCGACGGCGCGGAUUCCGUUGGUUGGAACCCACACCUAGUGCCCAACGUUUACGGCAUGGGCUAC
rnacentral:misc_RNA from 1 species